UGCGGAUGCUAACGCAAUGUG
rnacentral:sRNA from 1 species